CCUACGGGAGGCAGCAGUGGGGAAUAUUGGGCAAUGGAGGAAACUCUGACCCAGCAACGCCGCGUGAAUGAUGAAGGUCUUCGGAUUGUAAAGUUCUUUUCUAAGGGAAGAAGAAAGUGACGGUACCUUAGGAAUAAGCCUCGGCUAACUACGGGCCAGCAGCCGCGGUAAUACGUAGGAGGCGAGCGUUAUCCGGAAUGCCUGGGCGUAAAGGGGGCGUAGGUGGUUUGGCAAGUUAGUAGCGUAACUCCAAGGCUCAACCUUGGAACUACUACUAAAACUGUUGGACUUGAGUGCAGGAGGGGCAACCGGAAUUCCUAGUGUAGCGGUGGAAUGCGUAGAUAUUAGGAGGAACACCAGUGGCGAAGGCGGGUUGCUAAACUGUAACUGACACUGAGGCACGAAAGCGUGGGGAGCAAACAGGAUUAGAUACCCGUGUAGUC
rnacentral:rRNA from 1 species